GUAUACGGGUGUGGUCACAGACCUCUUACCCAGCCAGGAAUCUGGAAUACUAGGACAAUCGUAUCACUAAUACAAAGCCCUGGCUCCUUGUUUCUGUGACCCUCUGUCACAAAAGGACAAAGGCUUCCUGUUCCCCCUUGUCCUUGGAGAUCACGGGCAGCAGUCUCGGCUGUGUGAGCACACAUCUCAUUCUGGACCUGGAUGCUGCUUGGUUUGGUCUGAGUCGCAGCUAAAACAAAGCCGUUUCCCUCGGCCUCCAGGGCUCCUGGCUGAGCUCCGCCGGCUGCGGGCCCUGCCCAGCACGCCCUGCCACUCAGAUGUCACUGGUGUCCCUGUUGGCCACACACCCCCCACCCAGGGGAGAAAUUAAGGCGAUUUCACUGAGGCCCACUGCCUGGGCAGUUCACAGCCCUCCUGGAGGAGCCAGAUAGAACUUGGACAGAGUCAGAGGAGCCCAAGAGGGUGAUGCGAAGCUGGAGACCCAGUUGAAGGAUCUGGCUUAGAAGAGGCAGAGACGCUUCAUUUAAAGGAGAAAAAGUAGAAGAUAACUUCACAAGAAUCUAAGUUUAUGAUGAAGUAUCCAUCUGCAUGUCCAUGGGUGAGGGUAGAUAGACACGGUAUGCCCAUGGAGGAAAUUUCCUCCAUGGUGGGUGCCUUUCAGGCUGGUGAGAAUGCUGCAGGCUGAGGCUGGACCAAAGACAGAAAUCAGAAAACACGCCCCACUCUCAUGGUUCAUUCAUUGUAGCCCAAAGACUUAAAGCUUUUAAAAUGUCAGACAGAUAUUUGACUUGAGAGAGUGAAAAUUUAAAAAGUAAAUUAAAAACAUACUUGUAUUUAGAAAUCAAUUUUAUAAUCCCAUGAAAACUUUCCUAUGUUUCUCUUAAUCAAGCCUGGAAAUGAAAGUAAUCUUAACAUUUGCUUGCUUAACAGAUCUGUGUGACUGUAUAGCUAUUUAUGGAAUUUGUUGUAAAAACAGAGAAGGAGAACUAUCAAUACUUGACAAAGUUAAGCAGUCUGGCCAAAAGAGAGAUCCUUUUUAUUAUUGGAAAUCACUUUUUUUUGACUUGCGUUUUUCUCUGGCUUAACUCCCAGGUACGUGACAGUCUUGUAAUUGAAGGGUAAGCUGGGUUUCAAGUGUCAUUUCACAGUGUCUCCCCCCACUUUUCCUCUACUUGUCCCCAGUCAAGAC
ensembl:lncRNA